rnacentral:lncRNA from 1 species
AGACAUUGAUGCCCUGCUCGAUGAAGUGCCGCACGGCCCAGGCAUCCUUAUCACCAUCACCGCUGGCAAAGCCUUGGUAGGCCAUGUCAAAGAAUGCGAAGAGAUUCUUUUUCUGGGAAGGAAUGAGAAGACCAGUGUUUGAGGCAGGCCAACUGCUGAUGCCCGACUACCGUAUGUGCUGUGAGCACCAUGAUUGCCUACUUCACCCCCAACACAGCCAACCGCUUCUUCACACAGGGCAGUAGGGGAGAUGUCUGAAUUCCAGUUAAUUGAUCAACAUACUUUAAAGUUUUUUCUUUUUUAAGACUUUUAUGGCCAUGGUUCUUCAAAAAGAGACCCUUAAUCUUUGGUGCAGGAGGCAUCCCUAAGGUCUGGGAUCUUACUUUUGGGCAGGACUAGCAUCAAUCUUUCUGAUGGGGCACUGUCCUACACCCAGGGCUCACAAGAUGACCUUAUGAAGCGCUCUCUGCUGGCUGCUUCUGGGCCUUACUCUGUCGUCUGAAGCUGAGAUUUGAUAGAAGCAGUAAGAAUGGGGGGCAGAGGAUGAUGGGAAUAUUUCUCUCUGGGAAUUCUGAUUAGUGUCUUUCGUCACAGGCAGCUCCUCUCAAAGAAAAGGCAAUGCUAGCUGGGCGCAUGCCUUUAAUCCCAGCACUUGGGAGGCAGAGGCAGGCGGAUUUCUGAGUUCGAGGCCAGCCUGGUCUACAAAGUGAGCUCCAGGACAGCCAGGGCUACACAGAGAAACCCUGUCUUGAACACCGCCCCCCCCCCCAAAAAAAAAAGAAAAGGCAAUGCUGAGCAAGCAAAAGAGGGGACACGGAAAUGUGCCUCAAAGGACGAGCAAAUAGCCACUGAUCGGAACAAAUGGAGGAGCCACCGGCAGGCCCCUGGGCCACAACAGCUGCUGUGCCAGAGACAAAUUUUUGACAGUUUCAUCAGACUUCACUAUAUCUGGGCUGAAGGAUUAUUCACAUAACCAUCGAUUAAGGAACCCCUCCCCCUCCCUGGAGCGAAUCCACGUGUGGGUUGGGGGCAGGCUCGGGGUUAAGCAACCAGCUCCUGACGCUUCAUCCUCCUCACCUUCACCACGGACGCUAUCUCCUUCCACUGCUCGGGACGCGGGUCCACGCCGGUGGGGUUGUGAGCGCAGGCAUGCAGGAGGAGGACACUCUGCUCUGGGAUUUUCUAAGGAGAAACAAUCGAGAUUUUUGGCUGUGCAGCUUCAAAGGAAACAGCCGACACACUACAGGUCACUGUUAGCCGAGAAGUGAGAAGGAGAACCUAGGAGUCAGUUGGCCUCCUCUAAGUCAGACAAUGAAAGUGGCUGGGAGACACCAGAAGUCGGGCCUGGAAAGCCACACUUACUGAUAUGUCUUCUAGGGCUCCAGAGAAGUCAAAACCGCAAGUCUUGGGGUCAUAGUAGCGAUAACCUUGGAGCUGCAUGCCGGCAUCCCUGAAGAUGGGCGUGUGAUUUCCCCAGGAUGGUUUGGGCAGAAAGACAUCUCGGCUGAACUUAAAAAACCUUUGCUAAAAGACGGGAUAAAAGGGAAUGAGAAAAUGAAGAAAGAGAACAAAAUGCUAAUGCUUUCCUGAGAGGAAGUGUUUUGUUUGUUCCUACUGGCUGUAGCAAGAUGGCCUGGGUUGGAGGCCAGGCUCUGUGAAUUAUUCUGGCUGAGGUAAAACACCUGUGCAGGCCCCACCACCUGAAAGUCCCUUACACGGGAAUUUGCUGGCUAGUCUUAUGUCAACUUACACACACUUAAAAUUAUUUAUAUUGUUUUACUU